AUUGAACGCUGGCGGCAGGCUUAACACAUGCAAGUCGAGCGGAGUGAUGGUGCUUGCACUAUCACUUAGCGGCGGACGGGUGAGUAAUGCUUAGGAAUCUGCCAUUUAGUGGGGGACAACAUUCCGAAAGGAAUGCUAAUACCGCAUACGUCCUACGGGAGAAAGCAGGGGAUCUUCGGACCUUGCGCUAAAUGAUGAGCCUAAGUCGGAUUAGCUAGUUGGUGGGGUAAAGGCCUACCAAGGCGACGAUCUGUAGCGGGUCUGAGAGGAUGAUCCGCCACACUGGGACUGAGACACGGCCCAGACUCCUACGGGAGGCAGCAGUGGGGAAUAUUGGACAAUGGGCGGAAGCCUGAUCCAGCCAUGCCGCGUGUGUGAAGAAGGCCUUUUGGCUGUAAAGCACUUUAAGCGAGGAGGAGGCUACUAGUACUAAUACUACUGGAUAGUGGACGUUACUCGCAGAAUAAGCAUCGGCUAACUCUGUGCCAGCCGCCGCGGUAACAC
rnacentral:rRNA from 1 species